UACGGGAGGCAGCAGUGGGGAAUAUUGCACAAUGGGCGCAAGCCUGAUGCAGCGACGCCGCGUGAGGGAUGACGGCCUUCGGGUUGUAAACCUCUUUCAGUAUGGAACAAGGAUCCUUCUUUUGGGGGUUUGAGGGUACGUGCAGAAGAAGCGCCGGCUAACUACGUGCCAGCAGCCGCGGUAAUACGUAGGGCGCGAGCGUUGUCCGGAUUUAUUGGGCGUAAAGAGCUCGUAGGCGGUUUGUCGCGUCUGCCGUGAAAUUUCCUGGCUUAACUGGGAGCGUGCGGUGGGUACGGGCAGACUGGAGUGCGGUAGGGGAGACUGGAAUUCCUGGUGUAGCGGUGGAAUGCGCAGAUAUCAGGAGGAACACCGGUGGCGAAGGCGGGUCUCUGGGCCGUUACUGACGCUGAGGAGCGAAAGCAUGGGGAGCGAACAGGGAUUAGAUACCCGU
rnacentral:rRNA from 1 species